ACCCUCCAAUUCCCUUUCCCAUCGGAUCUGAACACCAGUCUUGGUGGUUGUAAAAGGAGGGAAAGUAACACUGAAGCUGGCCUCACAGCUCUGUAGCAUGUGGGCUAGUUUCAAACGAGG